rnacentral:rRNA from 1 species
AUGAACGCUGGCGGCGUGCUAACACAUGCAAGUCGAACGAAGCACCUCUAAUCGAAGAUUGAGAAAGCUUGCCUUUGAUUGAUUCACCGUUGAGGUGACUGAGUGGCGGACGGGUGAGUAACGCGUGGGUAACCUACCCUAUACAGGGGGAUAACAGUUGGAAACGACUGCUAAUACCGCAUAAGCGCACAGGACCGCAUGGUCUAGUGUGAAAAAACUCCGGUGGUAUAGGAUGGACCCCGCGUCUGAUUAGCUAGUUGGUGAGGUAACGGCUCACCAAGGCGACGAUCAGUAGCCGACCUGAGAGGGUGACCGGCCACAUUGGGACUGAGACACGGCCCAAACUCCUACGGGAGGCAGCAGUGGGGAAUAUUGCACAAUGGGCGAAAGCCUGAUGCAAGCGACGCCGCGUGAACGAAGAAGUAUCUCGGUAUGUAAAGUUCUAUCAGCAGGGAAGAAAAAUGACGGCACCUGACUAAGAAGCUCCGGCUAAAUACGUGCCAGCCGCAGC